GCUGCAGUUGAGCGUACCCAGCAAUGGGGAGCAGCGUAAGGGGCAGUAAGGCAUGGGUAUCUACCCGGGGAUCGGGCAUAGCCUGUAGAGAUACAGGGUAAUUCCCGAUGAUGUCGCAAGACCAAAGCUCCGGCGUCCCUGGAGGAGCCCAUGUGAUAUUAGCUAGUUGGUGGGGUAACGGCCUACCAAGGCGAAGAUGUCUAGCGGGUGUGAGAGCACGACCCGCGCCACUGGCACUGAGACACUGGCCAGACACCUACGGGUGGCUGCAGUCGAGGAUCUUCGGCAAUGGGCGCAAGCCUGACCGAGCGAGGCCGCGUGGGCGAUGAAGGCCUUCGGGUUGUAAAGCCCUGUCGAGGGGGAGAAAAGCCGCAAGGCGUGAUCUAUCCCUGGAGGAAGCACGGGCUAAGUUCGUGCCAGCAGCCGCGGUAAGACGAACCGUGCGAACGUUGUUCGGAAUCACUGGGCUUAAAGGGCGCGUAGGCGGGCUAUCAAGUCCGGGGUGAAAUCCUCCAGCUCAACUGGAGAACUGCCUCGGAUACUGAUGGUCUCGAGGAGGAUAGGGGCACACGGAACUGUGGGUGGAGCGGUGAAAUGCGUUGAUAUCCAUAGGAACUCCGGUGGCGAAA
rnacentral:rRNA from 1 species